UACGAAGGGGGCGAGCGUUGUUCGGAUUUACUGGGCGUAAAGAGCGCGCAGGCGGUCGUUCAAGUCGAGUGUGAAAGCCCCCGGCUCAACUGGGGAGGGUCACUCGAUACUGAUCGACUCGAAGGCAGAAGAGGGAAGCGGAAUUCCCGGUGUAGUGGUGAAAUGCGUAGAUAUCGGGAGGAACACCAGUGGCGAAGGCGGCUUUCUGGUCUGCUCUUGACGCUGAGGCGCGAAAGCUAGGGUAGCAAACGGG
rnacentral:rRNA from 1 species